rnacentral:lncRNA from 1 species
CAACAAACCACAGGAAGGUCCAGAGAGCUGAAAAGAGCAGGUCACCAAUGACGAGAGAAACAUAAUUGAGGUGGAAGGAUCCAGAAGAAAGGAACCAGUGAUGAUGAGGACAGAGGGCUCUCCACGGGAAGGUGGGAGAGAAUUUAGUUCUCUGUGCCGUGAAGAUGGGAUUGGAGCCAUACAUUGGAGAUGAAGAGAGUCCUUCCAUCCAUCUGCUGGACCUGCUGGGCCUCAGGGCUUUCUCUGAAGUGGUAGGGGGAAGAUGUCACAGAGGAAAUGUAAAGAAAAGUCUACCUCGGCAGUCUACAGCGUGGUGGAUAAAAAAAGAGCAGGAAGAGUCUGGCGAGGCGAUCAGCCUGAUGUAGGUGCUGAGUGUCCCUCACAAAGUCCCAGCAUGAAAGGGGUGGCUGAGAGCCGCUGGGUGGGCCCCAAGUCCAUGGUGCUAGAGCGAGGUCAGGCUGAGGCAGGGCUGGAGGUGGUUGCAUGGAUGGCACUACAGGCACUUAGAGGGGUCUAAUCUGGGUCCAUUGGGGGCUAUGCCCCACAAGAGUGGUUCCUGUGCCCACGGGUCCCACCAUGAACCCCCCAGCCCCAGGCCUGAGCUCAUAAGUAAGCAGGGAGUCCAGAAGCCAAGCAGCCAAGGGCGUCCCUGACACCCAAAGCAAUGCCACCACAUACAAGGAUAGCCAGACGGAUCCAAGCUGAGGGCUGGACAGUGCCCACGGAGCCAUUUAAAGUCUUGUGUAUGUCUUUUUUUCCUCGUUUUUAAUUUCAUUUGACACUUAUGUACAAUAAAGUAUUGUGUAUGUCUAAAGCUUAAAUCAGGUGGGCCAUUUCCAUUUUCCUGGGUUCUGUUGGUUUGUUUGCUUUGUUUUCCUGCUGGUAAUAGGUAGUACCUGAGGAAGGCAAGAAAGGAUAUAAAGAAAAUAAGAAACAACACUUUCUCUGCACAUCCAAAUUGUGGCAAGGAUUUUUGCAGAUUGCCACCAGUUCACUGAGAGGAGUCAUUGAAAACAUGGCAUUGAGGACAGAGACUGCCACUUCAGAAUUUUCUACAUCCAACUGCUGAAGCCACUCGAAGAUAUUUCCCUCAGAGAACCAUAACCAGCUUUGGAGAAGAUGCUUCCACAUAGCUUGUUUCACAGCAUCUCAUCUCUCAUUAAAACCUUGUUGAGGGAGCAUUACUGUCUGAGCAAUGGACAUAGCUCUCAUACGAACCUUUUCAGCUAACACCGGAUAAGCCAGCUUUCUGACAGCCUCUUUCACAUCCUUGGUGCACCCUACAAUUUUUGGCAAAGUCUUUGCUGAUGGUGCAAUACAUGAUAACACUGCCUGUCUAAGUUCUGGAUUCAAAUCAAUCAUUUUCGAUCAAAGUAGCAUAUGCAUUAACCACUGGGCAUUCAUCAUCCUUUGGAUCCUGAAGUCGUGAAAGCGCCAGAACUGCCUGUAUUCUCACAUUUGGAAUCUUAUCUUUCAGUCUAAUAAGCAUGGCUUCAUUAAUUUUGUCAAACACACCAUCAUCAAUCUGAGCUUCUUCUGGCAUACUUCUCAAAAGCUUGUUUAUGCAGCUCCUGGUUCUUGAACUAACGUAGGCAUCAGCACAGCUGAUUCUCAUUCAGGAGAAGACAGUGCUGUGCCCAGGGGCCCCUGAGCCAUUGCCCAGCUUUCCAGCUUUCCAGGAAGUCUGCACUGGAGAAGCAUUCAACCUCCUCUGAGCUAACAUUUUCAUGUGCACACGUGAUUAUGAGUGUGAUACAGACAUUAUUUUACUUGUGUAACUAAUUUUUAAAUCAGACUAAUAAAAAAAGUUAUCAGUCUAAAUUUUUGCCUGUCUUUUGGACUGUUGGAAUGUAGUGAGACAGUGGGAUCAGUGACAGAACAUCUCCCAUGGGGCACUGCAUCAUGGUGAGGGGGCACAUGAAGUCAUGGCACAGAGUAAUUGCUCUCCUGGAGUGCCAGAGACAUUUCCCAUCUUCCUAGCAGCCCUGAG